rnacentral:lncRNA from 1 species
UGAAGAUAUAUUGUCACCCAACCUGUAACUGACACAGGACUAAUAUCCAGAAUAUAUAAAGAACUCUUAGGAAAACAAAAUAUUUUUAUUAGCCCUUAACAGAAGAAAAACCCAAAUGGCAAAUAAAUACAUGAAAAUGAACAUACUGUCCACCAGAUUGGCUAAUUGGAGAAGGUAUGCAUAAAUGAGCUCCCAUAUAUUGCUGGUAAAAACCACUAUGGAAAACUUUGGCAUUAGUUAGUGCAACUGACAAUAUACAUAUUCCUAUAUCCAGCCAUUCUAAAUCUUAAACAUAAAUAGACAAGUUGACAGCAGUAUAUUCAUAAAAAGAAAUACAAGGAGAAAAGAUACCUUUAUAUGGAAAAAACAUUGGUAAAAACAUUAAAGAAUCAGACAAAAGGAUAUGUAACAUACGUUUCUGUUUAUAGUUCCCAAACAGGCAAGAUUAUUAUAUUUUGUUUAGGGAUGUAUACAUAACUGUUAAAGUAUAAAGCAAAGCAAAGACAUCAUUGCCCACAAAGUUAAAAUAAUGGUCAGCUUUGGGAAGGGAGGGCGAGGGAUAUCAGUGAUUUGGUAAGCAGGGAACUUACUAAGUUUUACAAAUGUUCUGUUUUUUGAGUUGCAUUAUGAUUACAUGUGUCUGUUGUAAAAUAACUUGUUAUGCUGUACAUUUUAUUUUUGCACUGUGCUUGGACUAUACAGCAGCAAGAAGAAUAGGCAGCUACAUGUCUUCAUUCCCCAUGGAAAGAUUACAAGUAGAGACUGACUAAAGAAAACUUUAUGGGAACUCUGAAAGGCAAAGGUCUACAAGAACCAAGCUAAUGCCCAAUCAAGGAAAAGUCACAUUCAAAAUGCAUUUGUUCCACUUUCUCUGUCAGAAAUAAGAUGGUUCCAGAUACUUGAUUCACCCAGAUGCUUUAAAGACUGUGGACCUAAGU